UAAUACGGGAGGCAGCAGUGGGGAAUAUUGCACAAUGGGCGCAAGCCUGAUGCAGCCAUGCCGCGUGUAUGAAGAAGGCCUUCGGGUUGUAAAGUACUUUCAGCAGUGAGGAAGGUGGGUAUGUUAAUAGCAUACUCAUUUGACGUUAGCUGCAGAAGAAGCACCGGCUAACUCCGUGCCAGCAGCCGCGGUAAUACGGAGGGUGCGAGCGUUAAUCGGAAUUACUGGGCGUAAAGCGCAUGCAGGUGGAUGAUUAAGUCAGAUGUGAAAGCCCGGGGCUCAACCUCGGAAUAGCAUUUGAAACUGGUCAUCUAGAGUACUGUAGAGGGGGGUAGAAUUUCAGGUGUAGCGGUGAAAUGCGUAGAGAUCUGAAGGAAUACCGGUGGCGAAGGCGGCCCCCUGGACAGAUACUGACACUCAGAU
rnacentral:rRNA from 1 species